rnacentral:rRNA from 1 species
CACGGGGGGAGCAAGCGUUGUUCGGAAUCACUGGGCGUAAAGGGCGUGUAGGCGGUUGGGUAAGUGGAAUGUGAAAUGCCCCGGCUCACCCGGGGACCGGCAUUCCAAACUGCUCAGCUCGAGUAUGGGAGAGGAUGAGGGAAUUCCUGGUGUAGCGGUGGAAUGCGUAGAGAUCCGGAAGAACACCGGUGGCGAAGGCGGCCUGCUGGGCAGUUGCUGACACUGAGGCGCGACAGCGUGGGGAGCAAACAGGAUUGAG